AGCAGCCGCGGUAAUUCCAGCUCCAAUAGCGUAUAUUAAAGUUGUUGCAGUUAAAAAGCUCGUAGUUGAACUUCGGGGUUUACCCAUUGGUCAGGCUUAAUUGUCUGUACUGGUGAGAUAAAUCUCUACCUUCUGAGGAACUUUCAUGCCAUUUAGUUGGUGUGAUAGGAAAUCAGGACUGUUACUUUGAAAAAAUUAGAGUGUUUAAAGCAGGCUAACGUCUGAAUACAUUAGCAUGGAAUAAUGAAAUAGGACGGAUUGGUUCUAUUUCGUUGGUUUCUAGGAUCACCGUAAUGAUUAAUAGGGAUAGUUGGGGGCAUUAGUAUUCAAUUGUCAGAGGUGAAAUUCUUGGAUUUAUUGAAGACUAACUAUUGCGAAAGCAUUUGCCAAGGAUGUUUUCAUUAAUCAAGAACGAAAGUUAGGGGAUCGAAGACGAUCAGAUACCGUCGUAGUCUUAACCAUAAACUGUAGCCGACUAGGGAUCGGACGUAAGUUA
rnacentral:rRNA from 1 species